UAGUCUGGAGAGGUGCCAUCGGUCCCCCUCGGCGCCAAAAUCCCUUGGAACGGGGUAUCGGAGAAGGUGAGAAUCCUGUCAAGCGCCGGAGUGGGACCGUACGAUGUGCUCUCGUAGAGUCGGGCUGCUUGGGAGUGCAGCCUGAAGCGGGUGGUAAAUUCCAUCUAAAGCUAAAUACUGGCGGGAGACCGAUAGCGAACAAGUACCGUGAGGGAAAGAUGCAAAGAACUUUGAAAAGAGAGUUAAAGAGUGCUUGAAAUUGGCAGGAGGAAACCCGGUUGCGCGUGGCAUUUGGCGUGGUCGACUCAGCCGCGCGCGGAGAUCUGUAGGGGACCUAACGGCCUCGUGGUCAGCGCGCGCGGUGCACUUCGGCCGCGUCGGUCAGCCGCGUUUCUGCGCGGCCCAUACGGCCGCGGGCAGGGCUUCGGCGCCGCCUGCGGUUUGGGGGUCGCGCGGGAUCCCGGCUGAUGCGCACGGGCGCAACCGACCCGUCUAGAAACACGGACCAAGGAGUCUGACGCGUGUGCG
rnacentral:rRNA from 1 species